CCCUUAGAUGUUCUGGGCCGCACGCGCGCUACACUGAUCAGUGCAACAAGCAUCCGUCCUUGGCCGACAGGCCCGGGCAAUCUUUGAACGCUGAUCGUGAUGGGGAUAGACUUUUGCAAUUUUUGGUCUUCAACGAGGCAUUCCUAGUAAACGCAAGUCAUCAACUUGCAUUGAUUACGUCCCUGCCCUUUGUACACACCGCCCGUCGCACCUACCGAUUGAAUGGUCCGGUGAAGCCUCCGGAUUGGCGUGCACCCUCGGGUGCUGCCGAGAAGUUGGCUAAACCUUACCAUUUAGAGGAAGGUGAAGUCGUAACA
rnacentral:rRNA from 1 species